GACGAACGCUGGCGGCGUGCCUAAUACAUGCAAGUUGAGCGCUGAAGGUUGGUACUUGUACCAACUGGAUGAGCAGCGAACGGGUGAGUAACGCGUGGGGAAUCUGCCUUUGAGCGGGGGACAACAUUUGGAAACGAAUGCUAAUACCGCAUAAAAACUUUAAACGCAAGUUUUAAGUUUGAAAGAUGCAAUUGCAUCACUCAAAGAUGAUCCCGCGUUGUAUUAGCUAGUUGGUGAGGUAAAGGCUCACCAAGGCGAUGAUACAUAGCCGACCUGAGAGGGUGAUCGGCCACAUUGGGACUGAGACACGGCCCAAACUCCUACGGGAGGCAGCAGUAGGGAAUCUUCGGCAAUGGACGAAAGUCUGACCGAGCAACGCCGCGUGAGUGAAGAAGGUUGUCGGAUCGUAAAACUCUGUUGGUAGAGAAGAACGUUGGUGAGAGUGGAAAGCUCAUCAAGUGACGGUAACUACCCAGAAAGGGACGGCUAACUACGUG
rnacentral:rRNA from 1 species